AAAAAUAUUUCAACAAAUAUAAAGGUAGGAAUUUAUUCGGUUUCUUGACUUUAAAUUUGGCCUUCGUCAUAGUUAAUUUUUAAAAUUAAUAAAUGAGGUGCAUUUCUAUAGCCCAAUAAUAUGUAUAAUACAAUUGUAAAAUGAAAAGUUAAAACGCACACGCACGAAAAAGUCAAAUAAACCAGUUUUCCACACGCAAAGAAACUGAAUACUUCCUUAUUCAAACGGAAGCAAGAAUCUGCAUUAAACCUUUCAAUUGAUGCUUGGGAGUUUAAAAGUUCAAAUUACUAAUUAAAAGAUAGUUUGAAAAAGUUUAUUAAAUACCAAUAAAAUCAAAUUAAAAAUUUUGGCAGUUUGAGUUAUCAAUAAUACUGAUUUUAGUAAUUUUAACAGAAAUGUUGUUGAGUUUUAAACCGUGAUAGUGUAUUUUCCAAACUGUAUAUGUAAUUAUUCAACUCUACUAUAUUUGUUUUUAAAUUUUGAUAUUUGAACACCUUACAAAUUUGAAAGAAUAUUUUAGAAAAGAAGAGCAAAAUGGUGGUGCGGUGCCUAUUUUCAAAAAAGUGUUGUUACAUGCAGAUCAUAUUGCUAUUAAAAGUAAUGAUACUGAAUAUUCUUACCAACAACUAUAUUUAGGCUCAAAAAAGUUAUCCGUUCAAAUAUCGAACAUAUGUGGUAGUGGAGCAUCAUGCAAUAUUGCAGUUUUUUGUGAAAAUAACGCUUUGUUACCAUUAACGCAAUGGGGUUGUUGGAUGUCUGGACAAGUUUUUGUGCCACUUCUACAUAAAUUUCCACUUGAAACACUAAGUUUUAUUAUUGGUGACUCCAAAUCAAAAAUAAUAAUUUCAGGAAAACUCUAUGAAAAGAUAGCUAAAAAGCUUGCUACAAUGUUUGAUAUACCACUAAUUAUUAUUGAUUACCAUUUUAUACCAGAACACAGUAUAAAUCAUCGCUUUUUGAAAAAGACUAUACUUACGGUCGGCAGUAAUGUUUUUAUAGAAGGCACUUUAAAUAACGACUUCUAUUCUUGUUCGGUUGCAAUGUUGGUUUAUAAUAACACUGCAGCCAAAAAGCCAAAAGGAUGUCAAAUAACACAUAAAAACCUUCUCUCGCGUAUUAAAGUAACAUCAGAAGCGUGGGAUUAUAAAUCAAAUGACGUUUUGCUAAACUUGUUGCCGGUAGAAUUCAAUAUUUACAGCGUACAUUCUAUGAUGUGCUUGCUAAGUGUUGGUGGAAAAAUAGAUUUCUGCAAUAAUAUCAAUUACGACAAAGUAUGGAAUAUAAUACUUGGUAUAAAUAUGCUAAUAAACGAUAAACCCAAUAUGCUGACAGCAUUGCCUUCAACGUAUACCAAAAUCCUCAGAGUAUAUGCCAAAGCAUUUUAUAAUAAUCGUAGGAUGGUUGAAUAUAUUAAAAACUAUUGUCAGCUUAAUAUUCGACUAAUGAUAUCUGGAUCAACCCCCUUACCAAUGAACAUUUUCUAUUAUUGGUAUAAAGUGACAGGUCAUAAACUUCUACGGUAUUAUGAAACACCCGAAACCGGAGCAAUUUUAGGUAAUCCAUAUAUCGAAGAUAAAUGGCGGAAGCGGAAGCAAAACUCAUUUAACAUACUGUUUCCUCAAAUCAUGAUUAGGAUUGUCAAUUCUAAAGAUAAAACAAUAAUUGCAUCUGCAAUUGGAAAUUCAGAAAAAGGAGGAGUUGAUAAUGCCGUACAAAUUGUAUCUUUCAAUACCAGAUUUAAAAACUUUUUAGGGGAACUUCAUGUAUCGGGGCAAACUAUUUUUAAAGGAUAUCUACAUCAAGAAGAUACGGAAGUAUAUUUUGAAAACAACUUUUUUAAAACAGGAAUGAUUGUGGAGUUUGAAAAUAAUACCUUUAGGUUGCUGGGACGUGUUAACAGCACAGUUCUUAAAAGAGCUGGACGAAAUAUUUCAAGUGAUGAAAUAGAAACACUAUUAAAAACCCACCCCAAAAUAAAAGAUGUGGCAGUUGUAGGUGUUCAUCACCCACGCUGGAAUGUGAGCAUUUGCGCUGUAUGUGUUAUUAAAACAGAAUCAAAUCCGGAUUUAGCCAAUAUUAAGCUAUUUUGUUCUAAAUGGUUGCCUCCGUAUAUGUGCCCUGAUAUUUUUAAAAUAGUUCCAUAUAUACAUCGAAAUUCGGACAGUAAAAUUGAGAAGAAUCCCUUAACAAAAUUAUAUUACUUGUAAUGUCGCCAUUAUAUAUCGCUGCAAAAUUUACUUAUAGUUAUUAUAACAUGUUUCCGAUUAUAAUAACAUAAAAGUUUGAAAUAACCGUCUAAUAAUCAUUACUUUAUCGAUGAUAAUACUCUAAAGGUUGGUUGAGAAUUUUUUAGAAAAGCGUCAAUUAACAUACAUAUAAUUGGCAUUUUACUAUCGAUGCAAUUAUUAUUUUAAUGCACAUCGGUCAUUCCCACCGAUGGCACUAGUCCCUUAGGCGACAACCACGCCUUCCUGCGUUUCGCUUCGAUGUGAGCGUACUUAUACAAAAGCAUACAUCGAACUUUUCAGUCAAUACAAAUGUCUGACAAAAAGCGAAGCAAAAGUUCUAUGUCCAUCAGUCAUCAUCUUUUUACGCUUUGCCAAGCAAACGUAUAUAUAUAUAUUUAUAAAAAAUUUUUUUUUAAACCUUUGUCUGCUGAGAGAAAUUACCGCACGUAUGACGGAGAAUUCCCUGGGAUAUACGAAGUCAUAACAAAUUUCAGACAUUGAGUUGAAGGCACAAAUUUUAGCACUCGAUAAUUAAGAAAUCCUUGUUAUGACCUCAGCCAAGUUGUUCGAUAAUUUCAGAUGACGAAAAAACGAGAUUGAGAAAAGAUGGAUAACGUGUAUCUUUCUAAAAUUUGACCAAACUACUCGAAACUCUUGUUUACGUGUGGUCGUUAUUCCUUAUAGCCUUUAUUUUCCUCAUUUCGAUUGCCAGUCCAUACGUUAGCAUCAUAACAAAGCAAAGGAUUUCUUAUGGUUGAUUCACAAACAACUUUUGCCUCAAACAUUUCUUUUGACAGAUAAGUUCGAUGCAAUAAAACGAAGCAACAUUUUUGGGCAAAUGUCAUCUUUUUGCGCUCAUUGUUUGGUCACUUGAUCACAACCAUUAAAUAAUUAAUAUAUUUCAGUAUGAGAUAUUAUUUGUGGCUAUAUUUGUAUAUUUUAAAUUAAGAAUCGACGAAGCAGCAACAUCAGAUAGUUUUGAUACUUUCAAAUUGCAAUAUUAUGAUAAUUGGUAACAACUAUUGGAUUUUAGGAAAUGUAGCCUCUGGGUAAGUAGCUUGAAUUUAUCGAUUUUUAGUAAUGGUAAGUGUCGCUGUGAAACGGGAGAAAAUGGAAUGGAAACACCCUUUUUGUGAAGAACAUGGUAAUCAUGAAUUUUGGAUAACUCAUGCACAUAUACCCAUUUGGCAUUCGUGUGUACAUUUGUACGUUCUGAAAAAGCAGUUGGUGCAAUUGGAUCAAACGUUUUUCAAAGCUUUUUGCAUAUAACUCAAGAAAAUGGCUUCUGGUGUAACCGUGUCAGAUGUUUGUAAAACCACAUACGAAGAAAUUAAAAA